rnacentral:rRNA from 1 species
GACGAACCGUGCGAACGUUGUUCGGAUUCACUGGGCUUAAAGGGCGCGUAGGCGGGCAUUCGAGUCCGGGGUGAAAUCUUUCGGCCCAACCGGAAAAGGGCCUCGGAUACCGAAUGCCUCGAGGGGGGUAGGGGCGUGUGGAACUUCCGGUGGAGCGGUGAAAUGCGUAGAUAUCGGAAGGAACGCCGGUGGCGAAAGCGACGCGCUGGACCCCUUCUGACGCUGAGGCGCGAAAGCCAGGGGAGCAAACGGG